GGGGGCGCACUGGUUUCGACUUGGAAGAUGCGCCAGAGGCGGCAUGCCGAGGACGAUGCGUUGGCCUCGUAAAUCACCGCAUCAAACAUCAAAAGCUAACGACGAGUUGGCCCUCGCGGCUUAAGCCCCGCGACGUUCACCGGUGGACGCCUGCUUAACCGGAUGAACGCCAUAGCAGGAUAGGUCGAUGGCGGAGACUGCGCGACAGCGACCGAAACACUUUCAUGCGGACUACGCUCUGGGAUUCGAGUCCGGUCGUGAUCCCAAAGCCGACAACCAACCCGGACUAAGCAUGUAGUCGCGGCUGGCAAUUCCUCCAAGGACGCGGGUUCAACUCCCGCCGCCUCCACCA
rnacentral:tmRNA from 1 species